rnacentral:rRNA from 1 species
UACGUAGGUGGCAAGCGUUGUCCGGAUUUACUGGGCGUAAAGGAUGCGUAGGCGGACAUUUAAGUCAGAUGUGAAAUACCCGAGCUUAACUUGGGUGCUGCAUUUGAAACUGGGUGUCUAGAGUGCAGGAGAGGUAAGUGGAAUUCCUAGUGUAGCGGUGAAAUGCGUAGAGAUUAGGAAGAACACCAGUGGCGAAGGCGACUUACUGGACUGUAACUGACGCUGAGGCAUGAAAGCGUGGGGAGCAAACAAG